rnacentral:tRNA from 1 species
GCGGGAUUCGUACAGUGGCAGUACGCUUGCUUCCCAAGCAAGAGACGCCAGUUCGAUUCUGGUAUCCCGCUCCC